rnacentral:lncRNA from 1 species
CUGCUGUUUAUCUAUUCCUAGAGAUGCUAGAAUUCUGGAGAAUUUUAUCUUUGAAAAUCUUUAAAAUUUUGCAUGAUGAAUUCCUGUAUGAUGAGAGUUUAAAUUCCUACCACAGCCAUAUAUACAUGCUUGCUAGAUUUUGAGCCACACAUUUACUAUUUACUACUUAUGAGCAUUGAGUGUGGUCAAGCUGUGUAGACCCUUAGGAGCUUGUCAUGUGGUUAAAUCAAGAUUUCACUUGCACGUUCACUCAUAUAUGCUACUUGUACUCCGAAAGUACCAUCCCUAGAUAUCCAUCCAUUUCCAUCUCCAGAACCACCCAAAAAUAUUCUACUCCUAAUCCGGGAGAGAAUAACCAAAAAUAUUUCUGUUUUUCCCUUGUGAAAUAAAUGCUCAAGUUAUCUUGUUACUACCACUUGCUAUAUUAUCUCAAGAGAUGAGUGCUCUAAAAAAAGUGAAAAAAAUGAUACGAGGAAAUAAAAAGGGGCAAGUGCCCGGAACCUCGAAAGAAAAGAAAAGUGAGACGAGAGGUAAAAAUGGACAAGUGUCCGACAGUAGAAUUAGGGGUACAAGAUACCCACCUGAGAGAAAAGAAAAAGAAGAGCAUCUCAUUCUCCUCAAAAUGUUUCAAAAAGCAAGAAAGGUAUAUAUCCCCUCAAAAGAGCAAAAGUAGAAUUAGACUUCCACCAUUGUUAUCACCAUCAUCACCGUACACCAUUCAUUCGCCACACAUGCACAUCUUGAUUUGGCUUAUUGAUUUGUUUCUUUAGAUCCAUGGUUUCACUAUGCAAUAAAUGUCUUGUAAGUAUGUAUAUUUU